rnacentral:rRNA from 1 species
AUUGAACGCUGGCGGCAGGCCUAACACAUGCAAGUCGAGCGAGUGGCGGACGGGUGAGUACUGUAGGGGAAUCUGCCCGAUGGAGGGGGAUAACUACGGGAAACGGUAGCUAAUGCCGCAUACUAUCGGAUGCACCCAUAUGGGAUUAGCUAGUUGGUGGGGUAAAGGAUCACCUAGGCGACGAUCGCUAGCUGGUCUGAGAGGAGGAGCAGCCACACUGGGACGGAGACACGGCCCAGACUCCUACGGGAGGCAGCAGUGGGGAAUAUUGCACAAUGGGCGCAAGCCUGAUGCAGCCAUGCCGCGUGUAUGAAGAAGGCCUUAUGGUUGUAAAGUACUUUCAGCGGGGAGGCGUUACCCGCAGAAGAAGCACCGGCUAACUCCGUGGCAGCAGCCGCGGUAAUAC